GGAAUUAUUUAGGAGGUUGGGGAAUAAUUAGAAAUUAAUAGUAAUAAGGGAGGUUUUAAUGAAAAAAAGGAAGUUAUAGUUUUGGGAGUUAAGGAAAGAAAGUCAGAAAACAGUUUUAACGUGAAAACAAGUCUGAGAGGAGAAAAGCUAAGGCAAGGAGAGAAGACCAAGAGAGAAGAACUUAGGAACGGAUUUGCUGUGCUUUUUGUCUUUGCAAUUGUAAGGUAAGGGUGGGAUUAUCUUUCAAUAGUCAUAAUAUAUAAUUUCUGAAAAUUAAUCAAUUGAACUGUUCUUGA
rnacentral:lncRNA from 1 species